rnacentral:misc_RNA from 1 species
UUCGAUGUGUUCGGAAGUUUUCAAUGGAAUGUUGCAGCUUAUUUUGCUCUCAAUUAUUUCUUUAAAAGUUUGCCAUUUGGUGGUUUUAUUGCAUAGUGUUUCUGGAUUGCUAUAAAGUAUUGGUUUGUAUCUGUAUUGAAUUAUUAUGGGUGUAUGAUCGAAGCUAAGCUCGAGGUUGGGUGUUAUUUUUAGUUUAUUUGUGUUUAGUCCCCUUGUAACUGCAAAGUCCAGAAGAUCUGGUUUUUUGUUCAGGUCAGUCGGCCAAUGUGUCGGUGUUCCUGUGGAUAAUAUAUUGAGGUUAUUAUUUCUAAUGUAUUUUUCCAGUGUUCUGCCCCGAGGUGUAGUGUUUCUUGAUCCCCAUAGCGUGUGCUUUGAGUUGUAGUCUCCCGCUGCGAUGUACUUGUCCCCUAGGUCCUGGAAGUAUUCUUCCCACAUUUGUGAUGUUAUUUUGUGUCGCGGAGGCAUAUAUACUGCUGACAACUGGAAGUAGUU